rnacentral:rRNA from 1 species
CGUUUUAAUUUUAACUCUAUUUAUUAGUGAUAUCUUAGUUUUUGUUUUAUUUUUUAAAUUAUUUUUUGUAAAAUGUUUUAAUUUGUUUUUUUUUGUUUUGAGAUAUUAAAAAUUUGUUUUUUGAACUGGAUUAGUACCCAGGUAAUCAAAAUUAAUUAAUUCGGGAGUAAAGUUUUGUUUAAACCGAAAAAAUAUUGACUGACUUUAGAUUUUUCUUUGGAACAUGUGUUUUUUGGAGAGCCCUCCUUUUUAGUGAUUUUUAUUGGCACAUGUAUGAUUGUUUAGUUUUUAUUUUGCUUUGUAAUGCUUUUUUUGUUUUUUACAUUUAAAACAGAUAUAUAUUUGGCUUAUGAGUUUAUUUUUCAUGUGUUACUAUUGUGAAUUAUUUUGGAUUGAUUUUUUAUUUUUUUUUGAAAUUGGAAAAGAAAGUAAUUUUUUUUUGUAUGUAAUGUAUGAAUUAAAU